rnacentral:rRNA from 1 species
AUUGAACGCUGGCGGCAGGCCUAACACAUGCAAGUCGAGCGAGCGGCGGACGGGUGAGUAAUGUCUGGGGAACUGCCCGAUAGCGGGGGAUAACUACUGGAAACGGUAGCUAAUCCCGCAUACCAUCGGAUGUACCCACAUGGGAUUAGCUAGUAGGUGGGGUAAAGGCUCACCAAGGCGACGAUCCCUAGCUGGUCUGAGAGGAUGAUCAGCCACACUGGAAAUGAGACACGGCCCAGACUCCUACGGUAGGCAGCAGUGGGGAAGAUUGCACAAUGGGCGAAAGCCUGAUGCAGCCAUGCCGCGUGUAUGAAGAAGGCCUUCGGGUUGUAAAGUACUUUCAGCGGGGAGGCGUUACCCGCAGAAGAAGCACCGGCUAACUCCGUGCCAGCAGCCGCGGUAAUUC